GUGAAUCAUCGAAUCUUUGAACGCACAUUGCGCCCACCAGUACUCUGGUGGGCAUGCCUGUCCGAGCGUCAUUUCGACCCUCGAGCCCCCUGUGGCGGCUCGGUGUUGGGACGCUACAGCGCGCUUGCCCGCGCUGUAGGCCCCGAAAUGCAGUGGCGGCCUCGCCGAGACCCCGAGCGCAGUAAACCGUGCCUUAGCACAGCGCCUCGCUCAGGGCGUCCGGCGGGUGCCCCGGCCGUUAAACCCCCAACUUAUAGAAGGUUGACCUCGGAUCAGGUAGGAAUACCCGCUGAACUUAAGCAUAUCAAUAAGCGGAGGA
rnacentral:misc_RNA from 1 species